AUUUACAAAGAUUAUACCGUUUUUAAACAUUUUAUAAAAAAUAAUGUUUUUUGAUGAGUUAGUAUACUUGAGUUUAACCAUAAUAUUUGUUGUAAUAUUUGUUCUGUCCUUUCUGGUGGAUUCAACUGAAAUUGCAACCAACUUUCUGUGGCUUGUUUUAAAAAUAGCGAUAUUUUGGAGAUUAUUUCAUUUUCAAAUAACCGAAAGUGAGAGGUUUUAAUCUGAAUAGAGGGACAUUCUUGAACAUGGGGUGAGCCAUUCUUACUAAUAUGCAAAAGAACCAGUUUGGAUUUAAGUAUAACUUUUUGUAUGACUGAAGCCUUUAGUGAGAGGUCUAAUGCUUUAAUAUUGAAUCAUUUCUUCCCCUCUGAAUUCAUAUUCAUUAUAUAAGCCUAUUUUAUUUUGUCUGGCUUACCGUUCCAAAUACCAUUUUAUUGGUAAACUACACAGCAAAAUUUAUAUUUUUUUGUGAUCCAGUAUGUAAUUGUCACACCCUGGUCAAAGUAUUUUGUGUUUAUCUUUAUUUAUUUGGUCAGGCCAGGGUGUGGCAUGGGUUUUUGUAUGUGGUGUGUAUGUAUGGGGAUUGUAGCUAGUGGGGUGUUCUAGCUAAGUCUAUGGCUGUCUGAAGUGGUUCUCAAUCAGAGGCAGGUGUUUAUCGUUGUCUCUGAUUGGGAACCAUAUUUAGGCAGCCAUAUUCUUUGAGUUUGUCGUGGGUGAUUGUCCUUAGUGUCAUUGUUCUGAUGUCAUUGUUCUGUGUUAGGUUACACAAGUAUAGGCUGUUUCGGUUUUUGUUAAGUUUAUUGUUUUGGUAGUGUUUGUGUUUAGUGUGUUACUUCAUUAAACAUGGAUUGCAAUAGACACGCCGCAUUUUGGUCCGACUCUCCUUCUCACCUAGAAAACCGUUACAGAAUCACCCACCACAAAGGGACCAAGCAGCGUGUCAACAGGCAAGAACAGCCCAAAGUGGAGUACAGUAUGGACUAUACUUCUUGGGAGGAGAUAGACAGGUGGGCGGUCGACCCAGGGAGAGUGCCGGAGCCCGCCUGGGAUUCGAUGGAGCAGUGCGCGGAAGGAUAUAGGAGAAUGGAGUUUGCGAAGCAAGCAAGGCGGCGCGGACGGAGGCCCCAUAGUCAGCCCCAAAAAUUUAUUGGGGGGGGGCUCAGGGAGAGUGUGGCAGAGUCAGGAGCCAGACCUGAGCCAACUCUCCCUGUUUAUCGUGAGGAGCCAAGGAGGAGACCAGAGCCGGUGUUGGAGGUGAGCGAAACAGAUGCCUCAGUCCCGAGCUGCCCCUCAGUCCCGAUCUGCUCCUCAGUCCAGUGGGGUUCUGGGUGAGGACUACUAGGCCAUGGUCGGCGGCGAGGGUGGACUAUCCAGGGACGCGAGGAGAAGGGACUAAGACAUUGAUUGAGUGGGGUCCACGUCCCGCGCCGGAGCCGCCACCAUGGACAGACGCCCACCCGGACCCUCCCUAUUGUUUUGAGGUGCGUUCGGGAGUCCGCACCUUAGGGGGGGGUUCUGUCACACCCUGGUCAAAGUAUUUUGUGUUUAUUUAUUUGGUCAGGCCAGGGUGUGGCAUGGGUUUUUGUAUGUGGUGGGUAUGUAUGGGGAUUGUAGCUAGUGGGGUGUUCUAGCUAAGUCUAUGGCUGUCUGAAGUGGUUCUCAAUCAGAGGCAGGUGUUUAUCGUUGUCUCUGAUUGGGAACCAUAUUUAGGCAGCCAUAUUCUUUGAGUUUGUCGUGGGUGAUUGUCCUUAGUGUCCUGAUGUCAUUGUUCUGUGUUAGGUUACACAAGUAUAGGCUGUUUCGGUUUUUGUUAAGUUUAUUGUUUUGGUAGUGUUUGUUUAGUGUGUUACUUCAUUAAACAUGGAUUGCAAUAGACACGCCGCAUUUUGGUCCGACUCUCCUUCUCACCUAGAAAACCGUUACAGUAAUAUAGCACACACAUCAUCAUUUGGUUGUAAAAAUGAAUUUGGUUGUACAUGAAUCAUCAGCGUACAAUGACACCUUUGUUUUUAAAUCCUGGAGUUCUAGCCCCUUGAUACUAUUGUUGGAUCUGAUUUUAAUAGCUAACAUUUCAAUGGCCAAAAUAAAUACAUAUGUAGAUAGUGGACAACCUUAUUUUACUCCUCUUGACAGUUUAAUAAUUUCUGAGAUGUAGCCAUUAUUUACUAUUUUACACCUAGGGUUACUAUACAUAACUUUAACCCAUUGUAUAAGACAUUCUCCAAAAUGUUAAUAUUCCAGGCCUUUAUAUAUACAUUCCAGUCAUACUUAUCAAAAGCCUUUCCAAAGUCAGCUAUGAAUACCAGGCCUGGUUUCCCAGAUUUGCCAUAGUGUUCUAUUGUUUCCAGUACUUGUCUUAUAUUAUCUCCAAUGUAUAGUCGAUGUAAAAAAAAACGGUCUAAUUAGGAUGAAUAAUAUCUGACAAUACCUUUUAAAUUCUAUGCGCUAUGCAUUUUGCUAGAAUUUUUGCAUCACAACACUGAAAUGUAAGGGGCCUCCAAUUU
rnacentral:lncRNA from 13 species